AUAAUGGGUCAGCGACUUAUAUUCUGUAGCAAGGUUAACCGAAUAGGGGAGCCGAAGGGAAACCGAGUCUUAACUGGGCGUUAAGUUGCAGGGUAUAGACCCGAAACCCGGUGAUCUAGCCAUGGGCAGGUUGAAGGUUGGGUAACACUAACUGGAGGACCGAACCGACUAAUGUUGAAAAAUUAGCGGAUGACUUGUGGCUGGGGGUGAAAGGCCAAUCAAACCGGGAGAUAGCUGGUUCUCCCCGAAAGCUAUUUAGGUAGCGCCUCGUGAAUUCAUCUCCGGGGGUAGAGCACUGUUUCGGCAAGGGGGUCAUCCCGACUUACCAACCCGAUGCAAACUGCGAAUACCGGAGAAUGUUAUCACGGGAGACACACGGCGGGUGCUAACGUCCGUCGUGAAGAGGGAAACAACCCAGACCGCCAGCUAAGGUCCCAAAGUCAUGGUUAAGUGGGAAACGAUGUGGGAAGGCCCAGACAGCCAGGAUGUUGGCUUAGAAGCAGCCAUCAUUUAAAGAAAGCGUAAUAGCUCACUGGUCGAGUCGGCCUGCGCGGAAGAUGUAACGGGGCUAAACCAUGCACCGAAGCUGCGGCAGCGACGCUGAUGCGUUGUUGGGUAGGGGAGCGUUCUGUAAGCCUGCGAAGGUGUGCUGUGAGGCAUGCUGGAGGUAUCAGAAGUGCGAAUGCUGACAUAAGUAACGAUAAAGCGGGUGAAAAGCCCGCUCGCCGGAAGACCAAGGGUUCCUGUCCAACGUUAAUCGGGGCAGGGUGAGUCGACCCCUAAGGCGAGGCCGAAAGGCGUAGUCGAUGGGAAACAGGUUAAUAUUCCUGUACUUGGUGUUACUGCGAAGGGGGGACGGAGAAGGCUAUGUUGGCCGGGCGACGGUUGUCCCGGUUUAAG
rnacentral:rRNA from 1 species